rnacentral:rRNA from 1 species
CCUACGGGAGGCUGCAGUAGGGAAUCUUCCACAAUGGGCGAAAGCCUGACGGAGCAACGCCGCGUGGGUGAAGAAGGUCUUCGGAUCGUAAAACCCUGUUGUUAGAGAAGAAAGUGCGUGAGAGUAACUGUUUACGUUUCGACGGUAUCUAACCAGACAGCCACGGCUAACUACGUGCCAGCAGCCGCGGUAAUCCGUAGGUGGGAAGCGUUAUCCGGAUUUAUUGGGCGUAAAGGUAACGCAGGCGGUCCUUUAAGUCUGAGGUGAAAGCCUUCGGCUUAACCGGAGUAGUGAAUUGGAAACUGGGAGAAGUGAGUGCAGAAGAGGAGAGUGAACGUCAGGUGUAGCGGUGAAAGGCGUAGAUAUAUGGAAGAACACCAGUGGCGAAAGCGGCUCUCUGGUCUGUAACUGACGCUGAGGUUCGAAAGCGUGGGUAGCAAACAGGAUUAGAUACCCCUGUAGUC